rnacentral:rRNA from 1 species
UACGUAGGGCGCAAGCGUUGUCCGGAAUUAUUGGGCGUAAAGAGCUCGUAGGUGGCGUGCCGCGUCUGCCGUGAAAGCCCAUGGCUUAACUGGUGGCUUGCUUUCGAUACGGGCAGACUGGAGGUAUGCAGGGGAGAACGGAAUUCCAGGUGUAGCGGUGAAAUGCGUAGAUAUCUGGAGGAAUACCGGUGGCGAAGGCGGCAUCCUGGACCGACAUUGACGCUGAGGAGCGAAAGCUAGGGGAGCAAACGGG